GGAGAUCUACUGACUCCACUGGUUGGGGAUCUGCUUGUGAAGCAGAAGGUCCCAGGUUCAAUUCCCAGCAUCUCCA
rnacentral:tRNA from 1 species